GACGAACGCUGGCGGCGUGCUUAACACAUGCAAGUCGAGCGGUAAGGCCCUUUCGGGGGUACGACGAGCGGCGAACGGGUGAGUAACACGUGGGUGACCUGCCCUCCAGCUCUGGGAGUAAGCCUGGGAAACCGGGUACUAAUACUGGAUAUGACUCCAUGACGCAUGUUGUGGGGUGGAAAGCCUUGUGCGGCUGAGGAUGGGCCCG
rnacentral:rRNA from 1 species